UACGGAGGGGGCUAGCGUUGCUCGGAAUUACUGGGCGUAAAGCGCACGUAGGCGGCUUCUUAAGUCAGGGGUGAAAUCCUGGAGCUCAACUCCAGAACUGCCUUUGAUACUGAGGAUCUUGAGUUCGGGAGAGGUGAGUGGAACUGCGAGUGUAGAGGUGAAAUUCGUAGAUAUUCGCAAGAACACCAGUGGCGAAGGCGGCUCACUGGCCCGAUACUGACGCUGAGGCACGAAAGCGUGGGGAGCAAACAGG
rnacentral:rRNA from 1 species